GACGAACGCUGGCGGCGUGCUUAACACAUGCAAGUCGAACGGAAAGGCCCUGCUUUUGUGGUGUGCUCGAGUGGCGAACGGGUGAGUAACACGUGCGUAACCUGCCCUUGACUUUGGGAUAACUUCAGGAAACUGGGGCUUAUACCGGAUAGGAGCUCCUGCUGCAUGGUGGGGGUUGGAAAGUUUCGGCGGUUGGGGAUGGACUCGCGGCUUAUCAGCUUGUUGGUGGGGUAGUGGCUUACCAAGGCUUUGACGGGUAGCCGGCCUGAGAGGGUGACCGGCCACAAUGGGACUGAGAUACGGCCCAGACUCCUACGGGAGGCAGCAGUGGGGAAUAUUGCACAAUGGGCGGAAGCCUGAUGCAGCAACGCCGCGUGAGGGAUGACGGCCUUCGGGUUGUAAACCUCUUUCGCCUGUGACGAAGCGUGAGUGACGGUAAUGGGUAAAGAAGCACCGGCUAACUACGUG
rnacentral:rRNA from 1 species